rnacentral:rRNA from 1 species
CCGCCGCCGGCCGCCCCGCCAUACUCCCCGACGGAGCUCCGGGGGGAGGCGGCGAUCUAGACCGCCCCCCGCCCCCCGCCCCGGACACCCUCGCGCUCCCAUGGCGCCAGCCGCUCUCCCGUGCCUGAGCAUUUUCUUCUCCCGCAGCCGCCACCGCUGCCGUCUCCGGUAGCUCGCCGCCGCACCGGGAAAGGAUUCCUUCCGAGCAAGGAUCCGGCAAGGAGACGAGGACGAAUUUCAGUGAGGCUGAAGUCCGGCUAGUACAUGGGAUCGAUAGAGUGCUGUGGCUGCCGUCAACAAGAGAACCACAAAUGUGGCUACCGAUGAUGUUGCUGAAAAACAAGAAUGCAGGCAAACAGUGAGUUAUACUUGGACUAAAACAAUCUUGCUUUCAUGUCUUUCCUCUUAUAUAUGGAAUGCUUGCCUGCGUUGUGAGCUGAAUCCGCAGGAAUGCCCGUUUCGCUCGCAGUCUAGACAAAUGUCGGUUAUGUUAGGAACUGACCAAGUCAAGGUUGUCUCACCAAAUGCAAUGACCCUUCUGGCUCUUUCAGUGAAUAACACAUCAUUGAUAUCAUAAUCCCACGGCGUUGAAAUACCAUUUGAAACCACUUUGCAGUCUAAGGGAAGAAUAUACAUUGGUUCACUACCGUCCAUCAAAUAUAUGAACUGGCUUGUGUUGCUCAGGCAAGAGAUUGGGCCAACAAUACUGUCCCCCAUACCUGGUGUCGUACCGGCCUUCUCUGUUGGUAUCAACUCUCUUGAACAGCGUACCAGGAUUGCAGUUUCACCCCCGUAACUGUCAGGUAUGUAGACACUAGUUGAUAGAUUGGUGGCAGAGAUCUUCUGAAGCGGGCACCUAGUCCAUGAUUCUUCAAGCGGGAUGACAUUCAGGCCACCAAAUCUGUAGUCAAUUGCAGUGACCUUGCAUAGUCCAAGGAUUGGGUGAAGUAGGAUGGUAUCUGCUUCCAUUGAGCAUGCUAGCUCCAAGCCAGGUGCUCCACAGGAUGGGGGGCUGGUUGCUGGGCGGAAUGGAAAUCGGAUCUCUAUUGUGCCCUCUUCGCUGCACCUGGAUGGUGCGCAGUUAUGGAAGAAAUCUCCAUCACCACUUGCUGUGGCUCUGUUGAUUCCAUAGUUAAGAACAGAGAACAACAGAGCUACAACCAAAGCUUCAAACAUUUCUGUGAAAAAUGAAGAUGAGGAGGAAAUGAGAUGAAGCUGUGCCUACAAAAACUGAGCUUCUUUUGUAAUGUUGAAAUCAUAAAGAAGAAAUAUCUUGGCUACCUUGAAUCAGUUGGACGGAUUCCAACCUUUCUUCCUUAUCUUCCUGGAUGUUGCCUUUGACAAGUCAAAGCCUAUCUUCCUGUACACUAGUUUGACUAAGAAAACCAGCAAUCAGGUGGCACACCAGGCUUGACUAUUCUUCCUCUUGUGUCUCCAUCAAUCCAUAUGCACCAGAAAAUUCGUAUAUUAAUCUGAGACCAUAUUAGCCUUCUUCUUAACUCUAGUACCAGCUUCUAUGCCUGAUCCUGCAUCUGUAAAGCUCUCAUGACAUACUCCGUUGCAUUUCCACGUUCUGUUAUACUCCAAGCAUUAGCAAUCUCCUCCACAGUUUCAGUUUUUCUAACAAAGACUGGAGCGGAAGAUACUCCGGGGCAAGCAGUUUGCCCCUCUUUCUCCUGUGGGCAUCUCCAAGACAUCCACCAUCCUUUUCGAUUGCGAGGGGAUCCACCUGGUUGUGGUGUUCAAGAAUACGAGCUUGUUUGUAGCGAUGACCAGGCUAUAAUUCAAGUCAAUACGGGAAGGUACUUCGUCACCAACAUCUCCUACCCCGACUCUGUUUUCUGGGUUGUUGAUGCCAGUUUGGAUAAUAGCAGCUGCCCUAUUCCUGAGAGGAAUCAACAUCCUUAUAUCUAUGGAUUGAGAUCAGAUUACAUGUUCUUGUUACAUAUGCGUACGGUUAAAUGGGCUGCCUUUGUCAGUUGUUCAAGGAUGAUGAAAGAUAAUCUUAUUUAUAAGCCUGUCGCUUGCCGGAGUACGAACACUUCUUUUGUUUAUGUGUUGAGUACCACGCAAUCUUAUCUGGUUCAGAAUGUUGAGCCUUCAUGUGGAUACUUGGCCAUGACUCCUUUGGGAAGCUGGGGUCUGGGGCCAAAUGAUUAUUCAACUUAUGAUUAUGAAGAUAUUGUAAAAUUUAUGAGGGAUGGGUUUGCUUUUAGAUUUCCUUUCCCAGCUCCAGAAUGGACAUAUCCUUGGAUCCUCAAGACAUGCCUGAAAAAUUCAAGGAGCGACUUCCAUGAACAGAUGUCUAGUUCAAGCAUCCAAAAUAAGAUUUCUGUGAUUUUUGCCAUCGACGUGCGUUUCUUGGGAUGUGUAAAAAACAACUCCUUGUCUGACUACACUAAAUUAUAUUGGGCUGUGUUGGUCAUAGUAUCUGCGAUAAGUAUCAUGAAGCUCAUUAUCGUGUUGACAGUACUAUCCAGGUUAGUCUUUGCACCGUUGUCCGUAUUGAUCUUCCUUGCCUACAAGUACUGGAAAACAAAGGUAGUAAUUGACGCAGUUGAGAAGUUCCUCCAGAUGCAACUAGCCCUUGGCCCAACAAGGUUCGCUUACACAGACAUCACUGCGAUCACUAGCCACUUCAGAGACAAGCUGGGCCAAGGAGGCUAUGGGUCCGUGUACAAAGGUGUGCUUCCCGGUGACGUCCAUGUUGCCAUCAAAAUGUUGGUCAGUUCCAUGUCCAAUGGAGAAGAAUUCAUCAGUGAGGUGUCCAGCAUCGGAAGCAUUCACCAUGUCAACGUAGUGCGUCUGGUGGGUUUCUGCUCGGAGGAAAUGAGGAGGGCUCUUGUCUAUGAGUACAUGCCUCAUGGAUCUCUUGAGAAGUACAUCUUCUCGCCCGAGAAGAGUUUCUCCUGGGACAAGCUCAAUCAGAUUGCUCUGGGCAUUGCCAGAGGGAUCGACUACCUGCACCGAGGGUGCGAUAUGCAGAUAUUACACUUCGACAUCAAGCCGCACAACAUCCUGUUGGACAGUGACUUCACCCCAAAAAUCGCUGACUUUGGGCUGGCAAAACUGUACCCCAGGGACAACAGCUUUUUGCCGGUGAGCGCUGCGCGGGGAACAGUCGGCUACAUAGCUCCUGAGAUGGUGUCCCGUAGCUUUGGCGCCAUAUCCUCCAAGUCUGAUGUCUAUAGCUUCGGGAUGUUGCUGCUGGAGAUGGCUGGAGGGCGGAGGAACGUGGACCCACAAGCGUCAAGAAGCCAGACAUACUACCCGUCAUGGGUGUACAAUCAGCUGUCUCGGCAAGAGGCUGUUGGUAUCCAUCAGGUGGAGAGGAAGCUGUGCGUCGUUGCGCUUUGGUGCAUCCAGAUGAAGCCAGGCGAUCGACCGGCGAUGAGCGAGGUGAUAGACAUGCUCGAAGCUGGCAUCGAUGGCCUGGAGAUGCCUCCUGAGCCCUUCUUCUGCGGGGACGAGUACGCUCCUGCUGCAGAUUCUUCAGUAUUAUCAGAGAUAAGUACAUUCUCAGAGUGAAAUACCUAUAAAUCGUAGUUUUGGACCAAAUUUUAUCCUCUACCCACCUCAGGUGCGCUCAGCAAGUCAAUAUUUGUUUUGGAAGGUUUGAGAGUGUAAGAUUAUCCUUGGUUAGAUUUGGACCUACCUACCACAGAAGGUUCUGUUGUGUGCAAUGUGAAGAAGAUACUCUUUUUUCUUAAUACGAAGAGAAGACGUUGAAAAUGAUGAUGCAAAUUGUAAAUGUGAACCUGGAGAGAACCGCUUUCUGUAAAAUAAUGAUAAUCCCGUUGGCGCUGUUGUUACUGUUUCUGUACAACAUCGAUCACAUUCAGUUGAAUAUUUGAAUGGCAGCGCAUUGUGGGAUG